GGGUGCGAUCAUACCAGCACUAAUGCACCGGAUCCCAUCAGAACUCUGAAGUUAAACGUGCUUGGGCGAGAGUAGUACUAAGAUGGGUGACCUCUUGGGAAGUCCUCGUGUUGCACCCCUCU
rnacentral:rRNA from 1 species